rnacentral:lncRNA from 1 species
UUCCCUUUCAAAUCUGCAAACGUUGAAAUCCCCCAAGCACCCAGUGACCCUCCCAUAGACCCGUUACACCUGCAAUUUCAUGCCACAUGACCUCCUGUUUUAAGUUGGUAUGAGGCCCAUAUAUACCUGUAAAGCACCAUCUGAAUUCCUCAUGAGUACUCUCUAAAAUGCAGGAGAUGGAGACAGAACCUUGCAUAUUCUCAAUGUUAUUCCAAUGUCUUCUAUCCCAUACCAAUAUAAUCCCACCCCUGUUACCGCUUGCUUUCAACUCAACCCGUCUAUUUUCCCAUAAUUUGUGAACUUCACCU